UCUGCCAAGAAAAGCAUCGACGCGAGGUUCCAGUCACCCGUACCCCAAACCGACUCAGGUGGUCAGGUAGAGAAUACCAAGGAGAUCGAGAGAAUCGUGGUUAAGGAACUCGGCAAAAUGCCCCCGUAACUUCGGGAGAAGGGGGGCCUGAGGCGUGAAGGGAUUUACUCCUGGAGCGUUUGAAGGCCGCAGAGACCAGUGGGAAGCGACUGUUUACUAAAAACACAGGUCCGUGCUAAGUCGCGAGACGAUGUAUACGGACUGACGCCUGCCCGGUGCUGGAAGGUUAAGAGGAACGGUUAGCCGCAAGGCGAAGCUGAGAAUUUAAGCCCCAGUAAACGGCGGUGGUAACUAUAACCAUCCUAAGGUAGCGAAAUUCCUUGUCGGGUAAGUUCCGACCUGCACGAAUGGCGUAACGACUUCCCAGCUGUCUCAACCGCGAACUCGGCGAAAUUGCACUACGAGUAAAGAUGCUCGUUACGCGCAGAAGGACGGAAAGACCCCGUGACCUUUACUAUAGCUUUGUAUUGGUGUUCGGUGUGGCUUGUGUAGGAUAGGUGGGAGACUGUGAAGCUUGGACGCUAGUUCAGGUGGAGUCAUUGUUGAAAUACCACUCUGGUCACUCUGGAUAUCUAACUUCGAACCGUGAUCCGGUUCAGGGACAGUGCAUGGUGGGUAGUUUAACUGGGGCGGUUGCCUCCCAAAAAGUAACGGAGGCGCCCAAAGGUUCCCUCAACCUGGUUGGCAAUCAGGUGUCGAGUGUAAGUGCACAAGGGAGCUUGACUGUGAGAAUGACAGGUCGAGCAGGGACGAAAGUCGGGACUAGUGAUCCGGCAGUGGCUUGUGGAAGCGCUGUCGCUCAACGGAUAAAAGGUACCUCGGGGAUAACAGGCUGAUCUUGCCCAAGAGUCCAUAUCGACGGCAUGGUUUGGCACCUCGAUGUCGGCUCGUCGCAUCCUGGGGCUGGAGUAGGUCCCAAGGGUUGGGCUGUUCGCCCAUUAAAGCGGUACGCGAGCUGGGUUUAGAACGUCGUGAGACAGUUCGGUCCCUAUCCUCUGCGCGCGCAGGAAAUUUGAGAAGAGCUAUCCCUAGUACGAGAGGACCGGGAUGGACGAACCUCUGGUGUGUCAGUUGUUCCGCCAGGAGCACCGCUGAUUAGCUACGUUCGGAACGGAUAACCGCUGAAAGCAUCUAAGCGGGAAGCCGGCUUCAAGAUGAGAUUUCCAUGACUUCGGUCGAGAGGCUCCCAGCUAGACUACUGGGUUGAUAGGCGGGAUGUGGAAGUGCGGACUAAAGACGCAUGGAGCUGACCCGUACUAUAAGCCGAUAAAUUG
rnacentral:rRNA from 1 species